GACGAACGCUGGCGGCGUGCCUAAUACAUGCAAGUCGAGCGGGCCUCCGGAGGUGCUUGCACCUCCGGAAGGCCAGCGGCGGACGGGUGAGUAACACGUGGGCAACCUGCCUUUGAGGCCGGGAUAACACCGGGAAACCGGUGCUAAUACCGGAUACGUCCUCUUUCGCGCCUGCCAGAGGGGAGAAAGACGGUCUUUAAGGCCGUCGCUCCACGAGGGGCCCGCGGCGCAUUAGCUGGUUGGUGGGGUAAGGGCCUACCAAGGCGACGAUGCGUUGCCGACCUGAGAGGGUGAUCGGCCACACUGGGACUGAGACACGGCCCAGACUCCUGCGGGAGGCAGCAGUAGGGAAUCAUCCGCAAUGGGCGAAAGCCUGACGGUGCAACGCCGCGUGAGUGAGGAAGGUUUUCGGAUCGUAAAGCUCUGUUGUGAGGGAAGAACAGCUUCCGGAGGAAAUGCCGGAGGUUUGCCGGUACCUCACCAGAAAGCCCCGGCUAACUACGUGCCAGCAGCCGCGGUAA
rnacentral:rRNA from 1 species